GAUGAACGCUGGCGGCGUGCCUAAUACAUGCAAGUAGAACGCUGAAGGAGGAGCUUGCUCUUCUGGAUGAGUUGCGAACGGGUGAGUAACGCGUAGGUAACCUGCCUGGUAGCGGGGGAUAACUAUUGGAAACGAUAGCUAAUACCGCAUGACAACAGUUAUUGCAUGAUAACUGUUUAAAAGGGGCAACUGCUCCACUACCAGAUGGACCUGCGUUGUAUUAGCUAGUUGGUGAGGUAACGGCUCACCAAGGCGACGAUACAUAGCCGACCUGAGAGGGUGAACGGCCACACUGGGACUGGGACACGGCCCAGACUCCUACGGGAGGCAGCAGGAGGGAAUCAUCGGCAAUGGACGGAAGUCUGACCGAGCAACGCCGCGGGAGUGAAGGAGGUUUUCGGAUCGUAAAGCUCUGUUGUAAGAGAAGAACGAGUGUGAGAGUGGAAAGUUCACACUGUGACGGUAUCUUACCAGAAAGGGACGGCUAACUACGUG
rnacentral:rRNA from 1 species